UAAACGACUCUCGGCAACGGAUAUCUCGGCUCUCGCAUCGAUGAAGAACGUAGCGAAAUGCGAUACUUGGUGUGAAUUGCAGAAUCCCGUGAACCAUCGAGUCUUUGAACGCAAGUUGCGCCCGAAGCCAUUAGGCCGAGGGCACGCCUGUCUGGGCGUCACAC
rnacentral:rRNA from 1 species